ACACAUGCAAGUCGGGCGGCAGCGGCGGGGGCAACCCUGGCGGCGAGCGGCGAACGGGUGAGUAACACAUCGGAACGUACCUGUCGUGGGGGAUAACGAAUCGAAAGAUUCGCUAAUACCGCAUACGACCUGAGGGUGAAAGCGGGGGAUCGCAAGACCUCGCGCGAGAGGAGCGGCCGAUGUCGGAUUAGCUAGUUGGUGGGGUAAAGGCCCACCAAGGCGACGAUCCGUAGCGGGUCUGAGAGGAUGAUCCGCCACACUGGGACUGAGACACGGCCCAGACUCCUACGGGAGGCAGCAGUGGGGAAUUUUGGACAAUGGGCGCAAGCCUGAUCCAGCCAUGCCGCGUGAGUGAAGAAGGCCUUCGGGUUGUAAAGCUCUUUCGGCCGGGAAGAAAUCGUGUUCUCUAACAUAGGACAUGGAUGACGGUACCGGACUAAGAAGCACCGGCUAACUACGUG
rnacentral:rRNA from 1 species